GACGAACGCUGGCGGCGUGCCUAAUACAUGCAAGUCGAACGAGAGCAACCGGUGUUUGCACUGGUCAAUCUAGUGGCGAACGGGUGAGUAACACGUGGGUAACCUGCCCAUCAGAGGGGGAUAACAUCCGGAAACGGAUGCUAAAACCGCAUAGGUCUUCGAACCGCAUGGUUUGAAGAGGAAGAGGCGCAAGCUUCUGCUGAUGGAUGGACCCGCGGUGCAUUAGCUAGUUGGUGAGGUAACGGCUCACCAAGGCCGUGAUGCAUAGCCGACCUGAGAGGGUGAUCGGCCACAUUGGGACUGAGACACGGCCCAAACUCCUACGGGAGGCAGCAGUAGGGAAUCUUCCGCAAUGGACGCAAGUCUGACGGAGCAACGCCGCGUGAGUGAAGAAGGUUUUCGGAUCGUAAAACUCUGUUGUUAGAGAAGAACAAGUGCUAGAGUAACUGUUAGCGCCUUGACGGUAUCUAACCAGAAAGCCACGGCUAACUACGUG
rnacentral:rRNA from 1 species